rnacentral:rRNA from 1 species
GGGUAGUUUGACUGGGGCGGUCUCCUCCCAAAGAGUAACGGAGGAGCACGAAGGUGGGCUAAUCACGGUUGGACAUCGUGAGGUUAGUGCAAUGGCAUAAGCCCGCUUAACUGCGAGAAUGACGGUUCGAGCAGGUGCGAAAGCAGGUCAUAGUGAUCCGGUGGUUCUGUAUGGAAGGGCCAUCGCUCAACGGAUAAAAGGUACUCCGGGGAUAACAGGCUGAUACCGCCCAAGAGUUCAUAUCGACGGCGGUGUUUGGCACCUCGAUGUCGGCUCAUCACAUCCUGGGGCUGAAGUCGGUCCCAAGGGUAUGGCUGUUCGCCAUUUAAAGUGGUACGCGAGCUGGGUUUAGAACGUCGUGAGACAGUUCGGUCCCUAUCUGCCGUGGGCGUUGGAAGAUUGAAGGGGGCUGCUCCUAGUACGAGAGGACCGGAGUGGACGAACCUCUGGUGUUCGGGUUGUGUCGCCAGACGCAUUGCCCGGUAGCUAAGUUCGGAAUUGAUAAGCGCUGAAAGCAUCUAAGCGCGAAGCGAGCCCUGAGAUGAGUCUUCCCUGAUACUUUAAGUAUCCUAAAGGGUUGUUCGAGACUAGAACGUUGAUAGGCAGGGUGUGUAAGCGUUGUGAGGCGUU